UACGUAGGUGGCGAGCGUUGUCCGGAUUUACUGGGCGUAAAGGGAGCGUAGGCGGACUUUUAAGUGAGAUGUGAAAUACUCGGGCUCAACUUGAGUGCUGCAUUUCAAACUGGAAGUCUAGAGUGCAGGAGAGGAGAAUGGAAUUCCUAGUGUAGCGGUGAAAUGCGUAGAGAUUAGGAAGAACACCAGUGGCGAAGGCGAUUCUCUGGACUGUGAUUGACGCUGAGGCUCGAAAGCGUGGGGAGCAAACAGG
rnacentral:rRNA from 1 species